rnacentral:rRNA from 2 species
AAAGCUCUGUUGGUAGGGAAGAACAAGUACCGUUCGAAUAGGGCGGUACCUUGACGGUACCUAACCAGAAAGCCACGGCUAAUUACGUGCCAGCAGCCGCGGUAAUACGUAGGUGGCAAGCGUUGUCCGGAAUUAUUGGGCGUAAAGGGCUCGCAGGCGGUUUCUUAAGUCUGAUGUGAAAGCCCCCGGCUCAACCGGGGAGGGUCAUUGGAAACUGGGGAACUUGAGUGCAGAAGAGGAGAGUGGAAUUCCACGUGUAGCGGUGAAAUGCGUAGAGAUGUGGAGGAACACCAGUGGCGAAGGCGACUCUCUGGUCUGUAACUGACGCUGAGGAGCGAAAGCGUGGGGAGCGAACAGGAUUAGAUACCCUGGUAGUCCACGCCGUAAACGAUGAGUGCUAAGUGUUAGGGGGUUUCCGCCCCUUAGUGCUGCAGCUAACGCAUUAAGCACUCCGCCUGGGGAGUACGGUCGCAAGACUGAAACUCAAAGGAAUUGACGGGGGCCCGCACAAGCGGUGGAGCAUGUGGUUUAAUUCGAAGCAACGCGAAGAACCUUACCAGGUCUUGACAUCCUCUGACAAUCCUAGAGAUAGGACGUCCCCUUCGGGGGCAGAGUGACAGGUGGUGCAUGGUUGUCGUCAGCUCGUGUCGUGAGAUGUUGGGUUAAGUCCCGCAACGAGCGCAACCCUUGAUCUUAGUUGCCAGCAUUCAGUUGGGCACUCUAAGGUGACUGCCGGUGACAAACCGGAGGAAGGUGGGGAUGACGUCAAAUCAUCAUGCCCCUUAUGACCUGGGCUACACACGUGCUACAAUGGACAGAACAAAGGGCAGCGAAACCGCGAGGUUAAGCCAAUCCCACAAAUCUGUUCUCAGUUCGGAUCGCAGUCUGCAACUCGACUGCGUGAAGCUGGAAUCGCUAGUAAUCGCGGAUCAGCAUGCCGCGGUGAAUACGUU